UGCUUCCGUGCCUGCAUUAUUCUCCCCACGACUUUGAAAUCACAGGAGCCAUCUAAGUAUAAACUGAAGGACAUGACUUCUCCAGCAUCUGACUCCAAGAUACAGAAUAAGUAGAUGGUAGAAAUACUAUCUCCAUAGCUUCU
rnacentral:lncRNA from 12 species